rnacentral:lncRNA from 1 species
AAGGAAUUUCCAGAUGGCUAAUAGGUGCCACUUGUGCAGAUUAAACUCUGAGUCGGUUAACCAUCUGCUGCUCCACUGCACAGUGGCAUCAGACCUUUGGAGCAUGUUCCUUCCACUCUUUGGCACCAGUUGGACUAUACCUCAAACAAUAAGGGGAGCAGUACUUGGUUGGAGCUUAUGGGAAGUUGACAAAUCCAUCAAAAAGAUCUGGCAAAUGAUCCCGUCAUGUAUUUUUUGGUGUUUAUGGUCUGAGAGGAUUCGAAGAUGCCACAGUGGCAUCAGACCUUUAGAGCAUGUUCCUUGCACUCUUUGGCAUCAGUUGGACUAUACCUCAGACAAUAAGGGAAGCAGUACUUGGUUGGAGCUUAUGGGAAGUUGAAGAAUCCAUCAAAAAGAUCUGCCAAAUGAUCCCGUCAUGUAUUUUUUGGUGUUUAUGGUCAGAGAGGAAUUGAAGAUGUUUUGAUGGCAUUUCAACUUCCAAGGGUCAUCUGAAGCCAAAAUUUCUAAUGUGUCUUUUUAGUUGGAGUAACCUUUCCCCUGCAAAUGAUAUUAUCCCCCUCCAAGACUUCAUUAGUUCCCUUUCAAUGAUUUAGUAAUCAUUGCUUUUGCUAUUGGUUAACUCAAGGUUCUAGAUUUCUUUUUGCCCUUUGGAGUUAGCCAAGAGUUACUUCUAGUAUCCUUUUGCAUCUUCUUGAUGCCUUUUAAUACAAUACAUUACUUCAUCAAAAAAAAUCCCAAAAAACCAAUCUGAGCUAAAAAACACUAUUUUGCGCGCACGCACACACACACACUCUUCCG